CCCAGGAUUUGGAGUCAGAAGAUGCUGUCCUGGUUUACUCUCUCUGUUAACCAUGAGUCCUGGGGUAAUAGUGUAGCUGACAGAAAGAGCCUGGAUUUUAGAAUCAGGUAGCUCUUACUUAGAAUAACAACUCAGCCAAUCAGUGCAUGAUUUCAGGAAAUGUAAUCAACCUCCUCCAAGCCUUAGUUUCUCAGGCGUAAAAUGGAGAUAAUAAUAUGAACCUCACAGAGACGUUUGUGUAAAUUUAAUAACAUCAUGCAUGGAAAGUGCCCAGCACAAUUCCUGGUGUAGUGUACAUUCUCAGUAAAGCAUGGUCUCAGAUUUUACGUCUGUCAAAUCAUUGUAAUACUAUACUAUCAAAAUAUUUUAUAUUUAAGUCGUAAAUAGCAGUCUCCUCAAAUUCUAUCAUUCAUGUACCACUUUUGGGGUUUUGCCAUAUCUGUGCACCAAUGGUACUAAUAUUACUUAAUAUUUUUCUUUAACUGUACUCAUCUUUGAAAAAUGUAGCAUUUAUUUUAGUUGGUUUCAGGAAAAUUAGCAUAUUAUCCAUGAACUUGGGAGUAGUUGUACUGGUGAAUCUAGUAUGUUUAAAAAUCAAUACAUAAUUAUUAAAAUAGAAAACUAUGGCCACAUGCCCCCUGAAAUAAUCUCAUGAACCACCAUUGUAUGCCUACUACACUUUGGAAAACACUCAUUUACGUGAAAGUUUGUUAUUAUUAUAUUUUCAACCUUUCCUUUUCAGGACUUGGAAGCUAAGGCCCAGAGAGGAGGAGAAACUUGAUCAAAGUCAAUCAGACAAUGCAGAAUCGAGAAAAGUACCUGGACCUCUAUGCCCAUGCUUCUAGCAGCCAGCCUCCUAAAAUACCUCUAGUUGAAGCCAAAGUUAGAAUCCUUCUACGAAACUACAGGAUUAAAAUGGAAUGGUUACAUGACCCAGGCUUGACCAAUCAGAUCAUCCAAACCCUUUGCCACAGUGAUUGGUCCAGGGAUACAUGCAUGAGCCAGCUCAGGCCUAAGCCACACUCAUCUUGUGGAUGACACUGGAGCUGUGACAGUCUGUUCUGUCCAGGCAGGGUGUCUUUUAUUUUUAUUGGAAAUAAGAUUAUCACAGCCAGACCCAGAGCUCCAACCCUGGUGAUCCAGUUAAGAAGGCCACAUUUACAGGAAAGAAGAAAAACUGUUGUGCCCAGUUCCUGGCUGUUACACCACUGAGGGCUUUUCUUGUCUCUAACUUGCAGAAGUGCAAGUCCAUUUCACUUACAGAUUCCCUCAUCUGGCUAAGUAGUGUCCCAAAUACAAACAAUGAAAACAGCAUGGAAAAA
rnacentral:lncRNA from 1 species